AUAAUAUAUAUAUAUAUAUAUAUAUAUAUAUAUAUAUAAAGCGACGAUAUUAUUUUACAAUACGUGCACGAAACGUCGCGUCUUUUCAACGAAAGAGAGAAAGAAAGAGAGACAAAGUAGCAAUUAUUCCUUCUCGAAAUUCUAUUAUUGUGUAUUUAAGAGAAGGAAGGGACAAACUCUCUGUGUUCCGCGUCAUGCUUAGCGAUGUAUAGUCUACAGCAUGUAUGCGUUACCAGUUCUAAUUAGCUAUUCAAAUGUACAGCAAAUAUCGUGUGUUGUGUGUGUAUGCGCGCGCGCGCGCGUGUGCGUGUAUGUGAUGUCUGGAUAAAUGUUCUACGUAGGGAACGAUUCCAUGAUAGAAAAAGAAAAGAAUGAAUGGAAAUCAGAAUAAAUGAGCAAAUAUAUACGCUUGAUCAUCGCUCAUAUACGUAAUAUACCAUGGAAUAAUUCAACUGUAUUCUACUGUUUGUAGGUUUGACCUGAAUAACGCAAUACAGUCAGUUCGGCUCAUGCUUGCUUUCAUUUAUUCGACCCGGAUCAAGAUGAAAGUCUCUCGGAAACUCUUGUCUUGUUCCUGUUGUGCGGGACCCGUUUCGAGUAAUCAUCAAGAUUGCUUUCUAAUUCGUGUUUCUUUCUAAUUUCGGAAAUUCGAUUCAGAUAAAUCGGUGUUGAAGCGGAAAUGACCGUAAUUAACAAGGUGUUGGAUACCACAAUGUGUGUGUAUGUGUGUGUAUGUGUGUGGGAUACCGCACAUACCUGCAUGGGGCUGCUUUGGUUAUCAACCUUGUCGAUACCGUCCACGGACUGUUGAGGACCUCC